ACACGACUACAUUAGAUACCCGGGUAGUCCUAGCCGUAAACGAUACUCGCUAGGUGUCGGCCACGGUGCGACCGUUGUCGGUGCCGUAGGGAAGCCGUGAAGCGAGCCACCUGGGAAGUACGGCCGCAAGGCUGAAACUUAAAGGAAUUGGCGGGGAGCACAACAACGGGUGGAGCUUGCGGUUUAAUUGGAUUCAACGCCGGAAUCUUACCGGGACCGACAGCAACAUGAAGGCCAAGCUGAAGGCUUUGCCGGAUUAGCUG
rnacentral:rRNA from 1 species